ACGGAGGGUGCAAGCGUUAUCCGGAUUUAUUGGGUUUAAAGGGUCCGUAGGCGGGCCCGUAAGUCAGUGGUGAAAUCUCGCAGCUUAACUGCGAAACUGCCAUUGAUACUGCGGGUCUUGAGUGAAUUUGAAGUGGCUGGAAUAAGUAGUGUAGCGGUGAAAUGCAUAGAUAUUACUUAGAACACCGAUUGCGAAGGCAGGUCACUAAGAUUCAACUGACGCUGAGGGACGAAAGCGUGGGGAGCGAACAG
rnacentral:rRNA from 1 species